AUCAUCGACCGUCGCCAUUGCAUUUCUUUUUCUUCUAGCUCCGCACGGUGUAUAGUUUUUCAUUUUAAUCAAGUGAAAUUAAAUAUAUAUUAUAUUUUUUAAAUCAAAAAAACUCACAUUUAAAUUCAAUUAAAUUACUUGAAAAAUAUUUGAAAAAAAAAUCAUCAUCAUGAGUGAUAUGGAAGUUGAAGGAAAUGGCAUUGAAAUUGAUGACCACACUGAGAAUGGCAGAGUUCGUCUGAAUGAAAUGGCCACAAAAUACAUUCAGGAUUUGAUGGGCGAAAAGUCUCGCAUGGAAAAUCAAUAUCCACUUGCUCAAAAGCUUAUUGAUGAUGCACUUGAAAAAGUCCAUACAACAGGCAGGAUACCGACACGUGAGCAGUAUGCUGAUGUCUACCAGCAGAAGACAAUAAAACUUGCACAGAAAGUUCAUGUGCCUAUCAAGGAUAAAAAGUUCAAUUACGUUGGAAAACUGCUCGGACCAAAGGGAAACUCUCUGCGCAGACUUCAAGAAGAAACUCAAUGUAAAAUAGUAAUUUUAGGACGUUUCUCAAUGAAAGAUCGUGCUCGCGAAGAAGAACUUCGCAAUUCGACAGAUACCAAGUAUGCCCACUUAAAUCUUCCACUCCAUGUGGAGAUUUCCACAAUAGCACCACCAGCUGAGGCCUAUGCCCGAGUUGCCUACGCACUAGCCGAAAUACGAAAGUAUCUCAUCCCUGACAAACAUGACGAUAUCCGCCAAGAACAACUCCGUGAACUAAUGGAAGAUCCAGAGGCAGCGAAAAAGAUAGCGCAACGUGCCCAAAUGGCCGCUGCCAAUAUCAAGCCUCAAUACCAACAGAAUAUGCAUCAAACUUACAAUAAGCCUCGAUAUAAUAGCGGCAAUGAGAACGGAUCCAGCAGUGGAUAUCCCAAACAACAGCAGGCUAUUAAUCAACCGCAGCAACAAUACUACGGUGGUGGUGGUGGCUAUCAGCAGAAGACAUAUGCUACAGCCAACUCGAGAAAUUACAAUCCGAACAAUAGACGUACAUAACGUAUAUGAGAAUCAAUACUAAAUAUUGGAACGUAUGGAAUGAUGCAAUGGACAUGGGAAGUAAAGGGAAGAAUCAUCAUUCUUCCAUUAUGUUAGAUAUAUAAAAAGGAAAGCAAACGAUAAGAAACGUCCCAGCCUUCAAAGAGCAACAUUAUGGCAAGGAAACAAAAAAAAAAAAAAUAAAGAGAGGACAGAAAAGAAGGUAAAUCUCAAGAUGGUAAAAACUAAUACA